AGAGUUUGAUCCUGGCUCAGGAUGAACGCUGGCGGCGUGCCUAAUACAUGCAAGUCGAGCGAACAGACGAGGAGCUUGCUCCUUUGAUGUUAGCGGCGGACGGGUGAGUAACACGUAGGUAACCUACCUAUAAGACUGGGAUAACUUCGGGAAACCGGAGCUAAUACCGGAUAAUAUUUCGAACCGCAUGGUUCGAUAGUGAAAGAUGGCUUUGCUAUCACUUAUAGAUGGACCUGCGCCGUAUUAGCUAGUUGGUAAGGUAACGGCUUACCAAGGCAACGAUACGUAGCCGACCUGAGAGGGUGAUCGG
rnacentral:rRNA from 1 species